rnacentral:lncRNA from 1 species
AGGCAGGGAGAUGUCAACCAGUCAGCCUCCAUCAGGCCUAAUCUGAGGCUUUAAAGUGUUGGCUUUUCAGUAAAUUUCCUUUGUGACCAAAUCCUCUGAGUUUGAAAUUUCUGACUUCUGCCACUCCCUAUCCUGCAUAGAAGCCAUAGGACAUAUCAUUGCCCCUUUGUGAAGAUGGCUAUGGCAGGCCUAUGGGUCAAGGGUGUCAUAGCCCUUGUGUGGGAUGCAGCUGUGACUCUAGAAGCGAUACAGCCAGUGGCUGAGGGACCAACAUUUGGUGGCUUGGGAAAUAGAGAGCAAUAGGCACAUCUCCAAAUAGGGAAGAAGUGACUGGGAUGCAGUCCAGGCCACAUCCAUUCCCCCCUCCCCCAGUGUCAUGAGCAAGGGCACUCUCUCCUCUGCCUACUUGAGGUUUUAAUGCACUCACUUCAUAGUGAUAGCUUCCUCCCUACCACCAUCCUGUUAGUCCUGGGCAUGGCAUGCAGUCUUAAGGCCCACAGUGAAAGAACAGUAGUGGCAGCAAUUCUGGCCUGUCCUCUAGAGCCUGAGGGGAAUUUCCCAGGCUGGUCUUUGCCUUGACCAGGUAGUCCUGCCCUAUUGGCCCCUCCCCCUGCUCUCUUACCCAACCCAUGCUGUAAAUACUUAUCAUCAUGGACUCCAACAGGGUCAGAGGGACAGGCCUUGGAGAUUCCAUCUCUGUCGCCCCAGGUGCCAGCCCCUGCUGCCAUAUGCACUGAGUGGCACUGGAGAGCCAUAGAAAUUGUGAGAUGUUGUGUGCAUGUGAACGUGCGUGUCCAUGUGUGUGUGUGUGUCUGUCUGUCUGUCUGUCUCUGCCUCAUUCAGCCUCUGGGGUCAAAUCAACUCCUUCUCUCCAAGUGCAGUACACUGGAGAGUGGUGGCCGCUCAACACCUUUUCCUCUAGCUUCCAUGUCUUGUUUUUGCUUUUCCUUCCCCCCUCUCUCCCUUUCUUUCCUUUUUUCCUUCUCCUCUUUAUUUGAGGGGGGAAGGGUGCUGUACAAAGUCAAACAAUCAAGUUUACAGUUGUAAGUGCAAUGACCCGAGUCCUCCACAUGACCUUGUGAAUUGUGUGCCGUCCUCCUGUGCUCUGUGAGAACUCGUGGUACUUCAGUGUCCCUUCCCCUGUAUUGUGACAAG